AUUCUAUCCAAUGGUGGCUGUGUCCACUGGGACUGGCAAGGAACCUGACUGGAAGUAGUGCUAGGGCCGACACUCUUAAGGCUGUAGUUCAACUGAAAGGCACAUGAAAAUUAACAUCACUGGACAUCACAGGUUAUAACCAUUUAAACCAACCAGAACUGGAACAAGUGUGAAGAAGGAAAGGGAAGCAGACUUCGAAGCUGCUGGCUGUGGUACAGUCCUCUCCACCUUGCUCUUAAGUGCCAGCCAUCCCUCGAAUCCAGUUUGCUUCCAAAUAGUAUGGAAUUCUGGGAAGAAAUUUUCUUCUGUGUGAGAAAAUUCUUCCAGAGAAAACUUCACUUGCAUGAAGGGUAUUUUUUGCUCUUGGCUUUACAGAAGAUUUAAAUGCAAUCAAGGACCAUUUAUUGCAAUACAAGAGGGUCAGUUCUUGAGGAAGUUUCAUGGACCCAAUUAUGGAGAAGUAUUCUGAGAGAGCAUUACAAUGACAUUUAACACUCUUCUUCACUGGCAAAAAGAAAAAGCAAUGACAGACUCUAUUGCCAAAUUAUAGACUGCUUCUGAUAAUACUCAGAAGCAUUAUAUCCUUUUUAUAGCAAUGAGGGCAUAAUCUUUCAUUUUGCAUCAUUUCAUUUAGUCAUUUGCAUCAGUACCAGUAUUACCUGUGUCUAUAAGGGACCUCUUGUUGACUCUGAAUUCAAUAUUUCCCUUUUACAUUGAUUGGUCUUUUCUUCUAGAACAAUGCUAUUUUAAUCUUAUGGUUUUCCAUUAUUCUAGUAUAUGUAUUUGGUUUAGAAGUCCCAUUUUGUUUCUCAGUAUGUACAUGAUGUAUUUUCAUUGAAUCCUUGACAGUAAAAUAGAGAUUGGGUUGGUGUAAGACCCUGCAAAACACCCAUUUUAAGAAGUGCAUUUUCUGUGCUACUCAGCCUGUGACCAUAAUGGUAUUUAUAUCUAGAUACUU
rnacentral:lncRNA from 1 species